rnacentral:lncRNA from 1 species
GAAGCCAUGACUGGAGUGGGGUAGGGAUGGCGGAGCAGGGAGUUGAGGCGGCUGUAGGCGGAAUUGGGGAGGGGAGGUGGCACCCAUAGCUAAUGGUGAGGAAGGAUGGGAAUGGGCGGAGAGGGAGGGGAAAGAGAUGGGAGGUGUGGUAGUUGCGGUUGCAAGUCGCCGGCGGCAAUCGUUGCGGCAACUUAGGACGGACUCUGAGGGUUUUGGUUCUUGACAUUUUAGGAUUUGUUAACGUCCUUAUUAGUAAUUUUAUAAACGAGGCAAAAUGAAAAUAAAAA